UGUCCGCUUUGCCCUCAGGGCGGUGUCCCUUUGCCCUUAAACCCAUGCGCUUUCUUGCUCAUCUGCAGUGGCAGAGAGGGAAGCAACCCACCUCUGCUCAUGGCUUGACAGUCUUCUGCAGUGUGGAUGGGUUAAUUCUGUUCUGGUGAGAAGAAAGAGGAGGUAAACAGAUGCAACUCAGCACCCCACGCUCACUCUGCUGGAGUUUUCUGAGUUUUGAAGGACAACGUAGGAGAAGGCGGCAUAUUCUGGGGAGUUAUUAACUAUUAGAUGCGGUUAUCUAGACGUGUCUUGCAUUAGCACUGUCACGUGGCAGGAUUCACCAAGGACGUGCUUCUUAUCCUCACCCCUGUACUCAAUGGUUUUCUUCAUUAAAGGUCAACGGCAAAGGCCUUUAUCCUGCGGGAGCAGAAGCUGGAUGAGAAGACAAACAAAUAGGAUUUCCCAUUCCAAGUCUGCAAGGUGAGGACAUUCUACCUGAAAAUCUGGAAAGAGGCAGAGCAGAGAGAGGAAAGAGCCAGGACGGAGAUGGAAAACCAACAUGCUGCUUCCUAGCUGUGUGACUUCAGAGAAGGCACUUCACUUCUCUGAUCCUUAGCCACCGCAGGGAAAACAUGGAGACAUAAACACUACCCACCUCUAAGGAUUUUCCUGAAAUUAAGUGCGCUUGCUCGUAAAUCCCGUAGAGCAGUGCCUGACUCACGGGCGCCGCUCAGAAAGUGUUACUACCGAGCCCGCUGUGCCUGCUGCCAUUGCCCCUGCUGUUCUUCUUAGUACUUCGAUUACUGCUGCUGCUACUGUUACUCCUACUGCUGCUGCCACUACUGUUGCUGCUGGUGUUGCUAUUGCUACUACUGUUGUUUACUGCUACUGUUGCUACUGUUCUUGCUGCUGCUGCUGCUACUACUGGUAAGUUCCACCCGAUGUGGUGUCCCCAGGAGCUAAAAGACAAGCAUGAUGUCGGGGAGCAGGUGGUCUUCUGCAGAGCUGACAGCAUGCAGUUUGGAGUCAGGCCCGAGUUCAGACAUCAACUCAACCCUUACUCGCCACGCAGCAAGGUCUGAACUUCGCUUGCUCCUCUGUUAAAGUGGGAAUAAUUGGCACAAUGCCUCCCUCACUGACUUCUUCUAAGACUCAAACAAGAUAAUUUAUGUAGAAGUUUUAGCCCCUGCUCCUGUUGCAAUGGGAAGGUACUGGGAUGAUGUAUUUACUGGGGAGAUGCAGAAGAUGAUGAGGGAGAUGGCGAGCAUAGAUGCUGCUCAGGGCAUGCCUGUCGAAUGAAUUAAAAAUGGCCCCUACACAUGAGACCCUCCCUCCAUCCAGAGACACGGACGUGGAAGUCAGUCGCCCAGUAUCUUAGGAUCCAGGCUGUGAGCAAGGUUGGGACAAGAUGCUGUGUGAGCCAAAGGACGGAGCACCCAGAUCUGCUUGGAGAGGCCCCGUCCCAGCUGUGCCCUCCUUCCUCGGGGGUUCUGACAUGCUUCUCGUUGCCAGGGCAUCCUUGCUGCUCUCCUGAAGACCCACCAGGAAGCAGGGUUCUCCUGCCAAAGAGCCACCCCCUCUGCCUGCCUUGCUGACAGCCGGCCUUCACCCAGGCAGACGAUGAAUGGCAGGUGCAUAUCUGUUAAAUGGCCUAGUGUUUGAAAAUGAAGGAAAAUGUGCCACUUCAGGCUCUUGUCACUCAGGAAGCUUCUGGAUUACCUGGAUCCCAGCGUAGCCACCCUUUCCCUGCAGUCAGUCUGCCCACACUGUGAGGGUGUCACAGGGGAAACACAGUCAGGAGGCCAAGGCUGGUUCUCCUGGUUCCUCAGGUCUCUGCUGGAUGUCGCCUCCUGAGACGUUCCUUCCCAGAUCUUCUCCAUGUGGAUGUGGACAGCCCCUGGUGCUCUCUCACACCAUAACGUGGGCUUCCUUCCUAACAUUGCUCUUCCAUUUGCAAUGCCAUGGUUAUUUGUGCUUGCUCGUUUGUCAUCUCUUUGUGUGUUAGACUCUAAGUUCCGUAAGAGCAAGAACUAGGUUCUUGUCUAUCACUAUGCACCGCCCCGGUGCCCUCCAGUGCAGUUGGCACAAAGUAGGUGUUUAAUAAACAUUGACUAAUGAAUGAAUGAACUCACAUCUGGCUUUUGGAAAAGAAGAGAAAAAAAAGAAACAAAGCACAAGCCUAAUAUACUCCCCCAGGGGACCACAGCAUCUGAGCAUCCACGAAGCUUUAGCAACUCUGUUCCUAACUGCUCAUGCAUUUUCUGCAGCCCCAGCUGCCAAAUCGGAACAAAUGGCUACAGACCUCCUCUUGAACAAAGCUGAAGACAAACACUCCGGGCAUCAGCUGCCGGGCUGGCCUAUGUAUGAAGGGUUUGUUGGAAAGAGAGCUGUCCAGGGUACUCUGGGACCUGAAUUCCGGUCCUGGGACCUGAGUUCCGGUCCUGUCUGGUUCACAGCAUUGAAAAACGCAGAUGCAGAGAGAGCAGCUGACUUGCUGUAGUCUUCCAGCGAGAGCAAGUUGGAGCUGAGGUGGAAUGGCCGGGGGAGCCACAGUUUGGAAAGCCUUGGUACCAGGUCGAGGAGUCUCCAUUUUAUUGGGUGCACAGCCCACAUGCAUGAAAGAGGAAAUCAUAAAAUAUGGAAUGAACACCAGUGUUAGCUGGUAAAAAGCUACAAUCGGGAAGGCAAGGAAGACAACCUCACCUGAUGACUUUGGGCGAACUUCUGAACCUUGUUGACCAUUGACUCCUCUGUGUCAAAGGGAAGAGCUGGAUUCAGAGAUCUCUACAGCUCCUUCCUUCACUAUCCAGCUAUAAAUGCCCCUUUGAAAUUACUUUGGAGGAAGGAGAAUUCAUUUCAUGUCAUGCUUUCAUGGCUUUAUGCAUUCAUUCCACUGUCCUUUCCUUUAACAAAUAUUUAUGCAUGUGCCACAUCCUGUGUAAACCAUGAAAGAUAA